rnacentral:rRNA from 1 species
GACGAACGCUGGCGGCGUGCUUAACACAUGCAAGUCGAACGGAAAGGCCCUGCUUUUGUGGGGUGCUCGAGUGGCGAACGGGUGAGUAACACGUGAGUAACCUGCCCUUGACUUUGGGAUAACUUCAGGAAACUGGGGCUAAUACCGGAUAGGAGCUCCUGCUGCAUGGUGGGGGUGGGAAAGUUUCGGCGGUUGGGGAUGGACUCGCGGCUUAUCAGCUUGUUGGUGGGGUAGUGGCUUACCAAGGCUUUGACGGGUAGCCGGCCUGAGAGGGUGACCGGCCACAUUGGGACUGAGAUACGGCACAGACUCCUACGGGAGGCAGCAGUGGGGAAUAUUGCACAAUGGGCGGAAGCCUGAUGCAGCAACGCCGCGUGCGGGAUGACGGCCUUCGGGUUGUAAACCGCUUUCGCCUGUGACGAAGAGUGAGUGACGGUAAUGGGUAAAGAAGCACCGGCUAACUACGUG